UAUGUAGUCGGUCCUUUAAGUCAGAAGUGAAAGGCAGUGGCUCAACCAUUGUAAGCUUUUGAAACUGGGGGACUUGAGUGUUGGAGAGGAAAGCGGAAUUCCUAGUGUAGCGGUGAAAUGCGUAGAUAUUAGGAGGAACACCAGUGGCGAAGGCGGCUUUCUGGACAAAUACUGACGCUGAGGAACGAAAGCGUGGGGAGCGAACAGGAUUAGAUACCCUGGUAGUCC
rnacentral:rRNA from 1 species